UCACCUUUACUAACGAGGACGACAAUUUCAUUACGGAUAUUUGACGUUAAGAUAUUUAUUUGUUUUGGGAAGAUCUUAAUUUUCAACUACUAUUUUACAUUGCAAUGUACGCUCUUAUUUAAGGAAGGAAUGUUGUUAUUUUAAAAUCUAUAGUAUGAAAUUGAUAAAAGAAAUAUUUAUAUAUUUAGGUAUCGAAAGGUCUUGUUGAGCGAGGAGUAAAAUGAUGUAUAUUUCACGGUCUUCGUUGUCUUUUUAACAUUUCAUGUUAUAUAGGGACAAUUCGGAAAAUAAACCUGAAUAUAAAUUCUAAGUAAUAACUCCGGCCCCGGAAAGUUCGGCAAGUAUUUACUUCUCUGCAUUUCUUGUUCAGAUUAGUAUUUUAUAUUCUCUUAUCUCGUUUACCAACAUAAGGAAAAGCAUUAGAACUUGUUCGUAACGGGGUGUUCGCUAAGUUAAAAGGAUAAGUACAUAAUUCAAUUGUUUUGAAAUUAAUCAUUCAUAGCUUCAAAACAGUACGAUUAAUAAACGUUACAUAUAAUUUUUGCACUCAUUCGAUAGAUGAUGUUAUUUUAAAUUAGUUAAUUUUAGGUAAAUGGUCCUGGUUUGAAGCAAACAGUGACUCAACUUCCUUAUGUAAGCUGAAGAAGCGAAAUUACGAGUUUAAACUAUUAAAAUUAAAAUAAGUCUACACUAGUUUUGCAAAGUUUCUUAAUUAUAUUCUUUAACACAAUUUUACGACUUUCAGAAAUUCACAAAGUAAGAAUUUGGAGAAGAUAGUAAACUAUUAUACGUCCAAUUCUGAAGGAAAAAUGUUAUUCUUAUAUCACAGCAUACUAGUAUUUUCAUUUAUUUUGAUACAGUUAGAAGGAGCCGUGUCACUGGAAUGUUACAGCUGUUCUCAUGUGGUCAACUCGACAGAUUGUAACUCUACAGUAACAUGUUCAAAUGACCAGGUUUGUUAUAAAAAGCGAGAAUACACAAGCCAAAUCUACUUUGAGUUCGGAUGUGUGGAUAAACAGGUUUGUUAGACAACUGAAAUAGGUUUGCAUAUUCUAAACAUGUUAUGCAAGUAAAUCUUUCCUUUGGUUGUG